GACGAAGGGGGCUAGCGUUGUUCGGAAUUACUGGGCGUAAAGCGCGUGUAGGCGGUUGUUCAAGUCAGGUGUGAAAGCCUUGAGCUCAACCCAAGAAAUGCACUUGAUACUGGAUGACUAGAGGACCGGAGAGGAUAGUGGAAUUCCCAGUGUAGUGGUGAAAUACGUAAGAGAUUGGGAAGAACACCAGUGGCGAAGGCGGCUAUCUGGACGGUUUCUGACGCUAAGACGCGAAAGCGUGGGGAGCAAACAGG
rnacentral:rRNA from 1 species